GUUGGUAGCGCGGCUGUUUGUUGCGUCUGGGACGCUAACUUUCAGCAGUGUACAGAAGAGAGCGGUGCUUUACGUGAGCGUUGGCCACCAGUGGUGAGCACUUGUCUGACAAUGUCAGGAUGAGUGAGUUUCACUCAAACGCUGAGGGACCUACCAUAUAUCGCUGCGCCCUGCUAGUUGCCGCCGCCGUUGAAGUCUGUGACACACCACAGCGUCUUCUUAGGAUAACGUAGAACUCGCGUUCAAGUCUGGCUCUCUCGAACACGUACCUAGGGAAUGAUGCUGUUUGAGGCACCAUAGCCUUGGGAGCGCUUUGUGCGGCUGACGCUUUGACCACCCGCUGAGCGGCUUCAGUGAGUCCAGAGCGUCGAUCAUUAACUUUUGACAGCCUCUCGGGAGCAAGUCCAGGAGUCGCGGAUUUGUUUUCUGGGAACGAAAGGCGUCAGGCGGUAACACGCUCCCGCGACACCGUUUCACGUCUAGGAGACGAUGCAAACAAUUGCUCGUGCAGGAUGAGCGCAGGUCGAUCGUUCCAGAUCCUGAAGCGGCAGAUAAGCGGUGAUGAUUGUAGGUGAGACUGUGGACAAAUCAGGAGCCCCGCUCACGUUCUUUAAAAUGAAAGCGCGUCGCGCUGUACAAAAGGUGCGGAACACGAGCUUGCAGCGCUGCCUUGAGCCAUCAGCACAGCGCACUUGCUCCGUGUGCUUUUCCAAGUCGAGGAUACGAGAUCGUCAUGCGAAAACGGGACAUUCUUUAUAACUGAACAUGAUCGACUUGUUUCCCUGAGUAUACAUGAACCAACUUGGCGGCAGCUUUGGCACGGUGUAUCCACGAGUGCUUAGCGCAAUAACGAGUCGGGUUCACGACUCGAUCCAGGAUACUGGAAGAAAACAGGAGAGCCAGGCCUCCGUUCCAUGAUCAGGGAGCUUCCGUCAUCCCAUGAGGCUUUGCAGACGAAGCGAAGCGUUUCGGAGCGUGGAGCGUUGACCUUUAGACACCGCUCGGGCGUACACAGACGUUGCAUGCGCUGACGUAUGGGAGAGCGUUAGACGUUUCACCGGGGUCUCUGUAGUAUCGCGCGUCUUCCCAUGGAAGCUCCGCUCACUCGCACGAUCUCAGCAGAUGAUUCGAACGACAAAGCAUGAAGAUACUUCUCCCAUAGACUGCAGUCGUGCUUAUAUAAUCAGUGGAGCGAAAAAGUUCCUCGAUCAUGUGGGGUGCAUGAAUACCCAUCCGAGGACGCCUCCAAGUCUUGUUUGAUCGGCAGACUCGUAUCGUGUUCUCAGAUUCUCCUUGUGCACUUCAAGUCUGAGAGACUGCCCCAUAAACCUGUAUCGCGUCAGCUCCUCGGUUCUCUUCUUCAGCACUACAUAUCGUCAGAUACUGAAGGUGACGUUGGAGUCUCGUUUCACGAACUCCUCGCAUAUAUUGCCGCUUGUUGAACUCAUCCAUGCAAGGAUUGCCAGAACACGAGUACUCAGUACCAUUGGCUGCUCUGCCAGCUCUCCGUACUUUUCUAUCGCGCGAAGCGCUCCGCUGCCUUCUCUCUAUCUCGAUGUUCUGAAGUGUACACCGCAGCUCAUCCCUUGGAUUUCUUAUUUCUUCAAAUGGCGCGCUUCUUUAUGCCGUUAGAUGAGGAGCUAAGCGGAGCAAAAAGGGCUUGCAGACGAGGGACGCAAUGUGGCCAGGUACCAAUGUGUGCUGAACGCUUCAGCGACUCGCCCCGUUGAGCAUUAAAAACGUCUCACAA
rnacentral:misc_RNA from 1 species